rnacentral:rRNA from 1 species
AUGCGCGNCUACCAUGCAAGUCGAACGGGAGUAUUGAAGAAGCUUGCUUUAGAGAUACUUUAGUGGCGGACGGGUGAGUAACGCGUGAGGAGCUGUCCUAUGCAGGGGGACAACAGCUGGAAACGGCUGCUAAUACCCCAUAAGCCGAGAGGUAAAAGGAUCAAUCCGGCAGAGGAGGUACUCGCGUCCUAUCAGCUAGUAGGUGAGGUAACGGCUCACCUAGGCGAAGACGGGUAGCCGGCCUGAGAGGGCGAACGGCCACACUGGAACUGAGAUACGGUCCAGACUCCUACGGGAGGCAGCAGUGGGGAAUAUUGGGCAAUGGGGGAAACCCUGACCCAGCGACGCCGCGUGGGUGAAGAAAUCCUUCGGGAUGUAAAGCCCUGUUGUAUGAGAAGAGCGGAAGACGGUACCAUACGAGGAAGCCCCGGCAAACUACGUGCCAGCAGCCGCGGUAAUACGUAGGGGGCAAGCGUUGUCCGGAAUUACUGGACGUAAAGCGCACGCAGGCUGAAUUAUAAGUCGGUAGUCAAAGGCGGAGGCUCAACCUCUGUAUAUCUAUCGAUACUGUAAAUCUGGAGUAUGUGAGAGGGAAGCGGAAUUCCCGGUGUAGCGGUGAAAUGCGUAGAUAUCGGGAGGAACACCAGUGGCGAAGGCGGCUUCCUGGCACAAUACUGACGCUCAUGUGCGAAAGCUAGGGCAGCGAACGGGAUUAGAUACCCCGGUAGUCCUAGCCGUAAACGAUGGAUACUAGGUGUGGGUGUCGCAGGGCAUCCGUGCCGCAGUUAACGCGUUAAGUAUCCCGCCUGGGGACUACGGUCGCAAGACUGAAACUCAAAGGAAUUGACGGGGGCCCGCACAAGCGGUGGAGCACGUGGUUUAAUUCGAUGCAAACCGAAGAACCUUACCUGGGUUUGACAUGCAGGUGUUAGUGNAAAUGAAAGUGGAACGACCUUGCAGCGAUGUAAGGAGCCUGC